rnacentral:rRNA from 1 species
UACGGAGGGUGCGAGCGUUGUUCGGAAUCACUGGGCGUAAAGGGCGUGUAGGCGGUCCGCUAAGUCUGAUGUGAAAGCCCGGGGCUCACCCCCGGAAGGGCAUUGGAAACUGGCGGACUCGAGUCCCGGAGAGGAGAGUGGAAUUCCUGGUGUAGCGGUGAAAUGCGUAGAUAUCAGGAGGGACACCGGUGGCGAAGGCGGCUGUCUGGACGGUGACUGACGCUAAGACGCGAAAGAGUGGGGAGCAAACAGG